CACAACCACCUUCCACAACGGAUCGUGAGGCACGUACCUGCCUCUGAAAGGAUGAACAU
rfam:Bifidobacterium gallinarum strain LMG 11586 Contig06, whole genome shotgun sequence.